rnacentral:misc_RNA from 1 species
GAUGAAGAACGUAGCGAAAUGCGAUAAGUAGUGUGAAUUACAGAAUUCAGUGAAUCAUCGAAUCUUUGAACGCACAUUGCGCCCCUUGGUAUUCCAUGGGGCAUGCCUGUUCGAGCGUCAUUUGUACCUUCAAGCUCUGCUUGGUGUUGGGUGUUUGUCUCGCCUCUGCGUGUAGACUCGCCUCAAAAUAAUUGGCAGCCGGCGUAUUGAUUUCGGAGCGCAGUACAUCUCGCGCUUUGCACUCAUAACGACGACGUCCAAAAGUACAUUUUUACACUCUUGACCUCGGAUCAGGUAGGGAUACCCGCUGAACUUAAGCAUAUCAAUAAGCGGAGGA